CACGUCAUCAGUCUGGGCGGCAUGAGGAGGAAUCAGCCAACAGAGAUGUGAGUGUCUGGAGUGUUUCUGCAUGGCAGCAGCUGGAAGACAGAGGCAAAACAGUACACAGACCUGAGACCAGCUGGGGAGUCCAGCAGCCUUGUAUGGUGAGUCACUGCCAUGUACACCAGUCUACCCACUGGACUUCUGCUGACCAUUAUAUUUACCUGAUUCAGUUGGAUGUGUGCAUCAUCUCUAAAGAAAGACC
rnacentral:lncRNA from 1 species